AGAGAUUUUUUGGUAUUAUCAUUUUAUUAUUCCUUUAGAUUACAUUCAGUCUAAAGAACAUUGUGAUUUUCUUUUAAAGUGAUUCUCUUCCUUAUGUGUGUAUGAACUGACCUGGAAGUCACUACUGUCUGUUUAUCUUCAUGUGAAACAGUUAACAAUGUGUUUCUCAGACCUUUGAUUAGUUAUCACACCUAGGAACUGGGUUGCUAGUUGAUUAUAUCAGAAGUUUUACGACCUUUGUUGUUUUUCCUGACUGUCCCCUAGGUAGAAAUUCCUUAGUCGUAAAACUGUGUUUGAUUGUGUUCGUUUCGGGGGCUCCUAAUCUUAUCAGCACCAGCCCCCUUUGCUUUUGUUUUGUGUUAAUAAAAAGACAAGCUCUACUGCAGAGUUUCAGAACACAUGGUGAACUGGUCAGAGGAGCAGUUCUCUGUGUUUUCUCCUUUUGCAAAAGCUUGGCUAUAAAAUUCAUAAUACGUUGUCUGUGGUUCUUUAUUUUAUAUAGGUUCGAAAGGAAAAAUACCUAUCAUUUUGGUGCCGAAACCCGGGAUCUCUCACCUCCCCCGCUGACAGGCAGAGGAAGACCCGCUGAAUCCGUGCACGGCCAGAUUCAAUUGAACCUGGAAAGACAGACUCAGGAAGCAAAUUCUUCGCUGGGCCAGCGACGUAGGUCCGACUUUGUCUGCCAACGGCGGAGUGACGAGAUCCGACUGGACAACCCGAAAACUACAGAAACAAAGCCCCUCCCAUCAAGCCAGGAGACUGGCUUGUCAGAGAAAGGAAGAGCUGGGCCAGCCCACUGUGGGAGGGACCAUUCCAAGUGCUGAUAACCACACCAACUGCUAUAAAUAUUGCUGAAAGACCCAGAUGGAUACAUCUCAGUCACUGUACGGUACAGAGAGUGUUAGACUUCUAGAUUGAGUGAUGGGGAAGAUCUGGCUACACAGGGAAUUCACUGUAUAGAUGUGUUUUGUCUCAACGCCAGCAGAAGAAUUCAACAGAUCCUCACUCUUUUAGCCUAGAAAUUCUGACAUCUCUGUAAUCUGAGCAGCAAUGGGACUCUCACAAGCCAGGUGGAAUCCCUGCUGUGCUGUGACUGCAGCAUGUUUAUUGUGUUGGAGUGGGGGCUGUCUCACCCUCAACAAGAUAAGGAGAGAAGCAGACACAUCCUUCCCCCAGACUCAUGCACAAGAUUACAGCCCCUAUUUGUGGUGGCAACUGAUGAAUAGAACUGCAUAUGAAGAAAAUGGGACCAACACAUAACUGUGGUCUGAGACAUGGAAACAAGCACACACCCAAGUGACACCAUACAUCUGCCACAGAUAGACCUCUGACUACCAGAAGUAAUUAUUUUGGUUAGUCUUAAGCCAGGAGCCCUUGGUGUCUGUGUGUAUAAUGGCACCACCUUUCUGGGGACAGCUCCAUAGAACCUGUGAAA